CCGCCUGCAAAAGAAAGGGGCGUUAGACUUAGCGGAGACCUCGGAGACUCUGAGCCUGUCGGCGGAGCCCGGCGCCCCCAGCCCUUGCCUCAGUUGAAGAAAAGGGACAUUCCACCACGAAGCCUCCAGGAAGGGGCGUUGACAGGACCACCAGUCCGGAACCACGUCGCCUGCGGGCCGUCCCCUCUAGAGGACCAAGCCAGCAAAAGAGCUGCCCCAGUGGAUUCCCAAUUGAGGUUCCUCGGACACCUCGCAGUUACCCUAAAGAGCGACCCCAUCAAAGUGCCCUCGCUCCUUAAUUAUACCGUCCUUGGUAGGACACGGGGCUCCUCGGAAAUUAUUCCACCUUGGUCCCCUGCUCAUGCACCCUGACCCUUCAGCGGUCCCUGCUGCCCAAAUGUCCUCACCAUUGGCCUCCGGAGCAACCAGGUUCAUAGGCGGCCUGUCCUCAGUCCAGCAUCGGGCAGCCCACUGUCAGCCCCCCUCGCCCCGUACACUUAAGCCCGGGAGAGGUGGAGCAGGGUCCCACUAAUCUCCGGGGAACCUCUCCGGGACAACCCAUCCAAUGCUCAGGGCCCGCAGGCGGCGCGCUCCGCACCGGCUCCUCCCGAGCGUCCCCGGGCGCCGCCUUGCCCUGGCUCCCCCGGACCCGCUGGUGCUGGUUCUGCGCGCUCCGCCGCUGGGUUUUCCCGGCCCUCCAGCGCCACACUCUGCAUCUCGAGAGAGGCAAGUGCUCCGAGGCUCCUUGCGUUCCAAGGCAUCGGGGUGCGCCCCCUGCGCGACCGCCCCGGCCCCGAAGUUGGCCAACUUGGCCCCGGGCGCGGCGCACAGAGUUUGCCCAAGUCGCCUCGGACGAUGCUUGAGGAAGGGUCGGCGGGACGCACCGGGCAGAUAAAGACACCUGUCUCUUUGCUCUUCCACUCGCCCUUCCCCAAGCCAGUGUGGCAAGCCUAAAGCAGAAGGUACAGAGAUGACUCCCUAUGAACAAGAGGGCCCAGUCUUAUGAGGGAAACUACAUGAUUUGUACAACUGGUGGCUUUCAUGGUGACUUCAGAUCCUUGGUUCUGUCCUUCCUGGGGCAUGGUGUGCGGGCGUGGACCGCUGUAGUCUGACAACCACCCAGUGGCUUCCUUGCCUCCUGGGGACACCUGGAGUUGGAUCUACUCUUCAGAAACAGUGAUUUCUUGCUGUCAACAUUGAAAGAUGAUGAGAUUAUUGGACGCAGCAGCUUAUGUGUGUGCUUCCAGCACUAGGAAGUCUGAGACAGGAGGAUAGCCAUGACUUUGAGGUUAGCCUGGUCGACAGAGUGAAAUCCUCUCUUAAAACCAACAACCCUCAAAAGAAGGGGGGAUGGAAAGAAAGGUAAAACUGUGACAUUUUAGUUUUUAAAAAUAUAUUUCUAAAAUUUCUGGAGGAAUUGGGAAGGGUGGCCAAAAUGAGCCCACAUUCCUGUUUAGCCACAAUUAUUAAAUGAGAUAUUUAUCUGUCAGUUUGCUGAAGGUCCACUCCCCACACAUGUACCGUGAAGACACGAUCAUUCUGAACUCUGAUGAUCCAUUUUGUCCCAAAGUUGGAGCUGGAAUCCCAGUGUGGCAGAAAGAAGCAGGUGCUGGAGCAAGGUAUCCUCAAACACACGAGUGUGGACUGAGCCGGAAGAUGACAGGAACAGGCAGGUCGGGGCUGGGCUAGGCGAGCUGGAGACAGCAUUCGCCUGUGAUUCUCCAAGCCAGAUGAAGGAAGCAAACCCAGUAGCUUCACCUACUUCAGGGCCUCUCCCCUCCCCCUCAUCUUCCUGCCAUGCGAAUGGUCAUUAUCAGUUUUAUUUUUUCCACCACCUACCACUUCUACUGCUACCUCCUUAUGUAGCACUUAAUAGUUUACUUCCAAAAACAUUGAAGGAUACUUUAAACCAGUGCCAUAAAGCAAGAGCCAGGGUCUCUCCAUUUCACCAUAAAUCAAAAAUCACUGUCCCUCAAAUAAAUAAAAUGAGAAGUGAGAAGAGGAGCCAGGUCCUAGCUACUACUGCCCACCCCAAGGGGGUGCUGAAGCUGAGAAGCCAGUUUGAGACAGACUUCGGAGUGGGGACAGCGGAAGCCCUUCACCAGCCUGGCCUACCUAGAAGCCCUCACAGGAAACCGCUGCAAGAUGCUACGAGUGAAUCGGGCACAUAGACUUCAAACUUCAGCACUUUGGUGGAGACUGAGGGUUAUUGCCAUGUCCCAGCUGACUGCUUAUCUGUGUGUGUGUGUGUGUGUGUGUGUCUGUCUGUCUGUCUGUCUGUCUGUCUGUCUGUGUGUACACACAUGGCUGAGUUAGCAGAGUGCUGGCCUACUAUCCCCCAGCACUACAUAAAUUCCACACCCAGCACUUCAGAGGUUGAGGCAGGAAGAUCAAAAGCAGCAAGUUCAAGUUUGGGGGCUGGAGAGAUGGCCCAGCAGUUAAGAGCAGUGGGUUCUUCAAGAGGACUGGGUUCAAUUUCCAGCACCCACAUGGCGGCUCACAACUCUCUGUAACUCCAGCUCCAGGGGGGAAUCCAGCGCCCUCCUCUGGUCUCUAUUGGCACUGCAUGCACAUGGUACACAUAGAUGUAGGCAAAAUUACACAUAAAAUAAAAAUAAAAUCUUCUUUAGAGAAAGAAUGAAAGAAAAAGUCUCCAGCCCUCAGUUACUCUGCAGAAAGGGUCCCAGCUCUUACUCUGUCCUGGGUUUCCUGAUCACAGAUGCCAGGACAAACUUCCUUAGAUAAAGGAGCCUUCUGAGAGCCAUCCCUGUGCACAGAUGUCUGAUGGAAAGCAGCUCCCAGAAGGCAUUCUGCUCCUAUUUCAAGGUCACCUUCCUUGGCAGGGCCUUCCAAGUGGAUGCAGGCUGUGGUGAUUUACAACCCUCCUUCCCAAACAGCAAGUUCAGGGGUUGUGAGAAAGGACUCGGACUCGUCCCAUCCCUCUGGGACCCAUGUACAGAGCAUCUCAAGUGAGAGGAGUUAGUGACCUUGUCAUGGAGACUCUGGAGCUCUAUCCAACUCCAGGGUUGGCAAACAGCAGGUGCGGUGGCCCCGUCAGAUGCACUGGAAGAGUUCUG